CCUACGGGAUGCACCAGUGGGGAAUAUUGCACAAUGGGGGAAACCCUGAUGCAGCCAUGCCGCGUGUAUGAAGAAGGCCUUAGGGUUGUAAAGUACUUUCGGUGAUGAGGAAGGUGCUUGGUCUAAUAGGCCAAGUAAUUGACGUUAAUUACAGAAGAAGCACCGGCUAACUCCGUGCCAGCAGCCGCGGUAAUACGGAGGGUGCGAGCGUUAAUCGGAAUGACUGGACGUAAAGGGCAUGUAGGUGGAUGAUUAAGUUAGGUGUGAAAUCCCCGAGCUCAACUUGGGAAUUGCAUUUAAAACUGGUCGUCUAGAGUAUUGUAGAGGAAGGUAGAAUUCCACGUGUAGCGGUGAAAUGCGUAGAGAUGUGGAGGAAUACCGGUGGCGAAGGCGACCCCCUGGACGAAGACUGACGCUCAGGUGCGAAAGCGUGGGGAGCAAACAGGAUUAGAUACCCUCGUAGUC
rnacentral:rRNA from 1 species